ncrna:unclassified sequences IMES-1 RNA motif
CUGAGACCGACUAACAACUAAAUGCAGACAGAAGUUAGAGAGAAUCAGAAGGAAGAGACCAGAGGGAGAAAAGCGUUUCUAAGAGUCGACGAUAAAAAAGAGCUUAGAGACCCACCAAGGAAAUAAGAGAAAAAUUUCCAAGGAGCUAAAGAAAUUCUCACUUUAGACCCCAAAGGAACUCGAACUAAGA